rnacentral:misc_RNA from 1 species
GAUGAAGAACGCAGCGAAAUGCGAUACUUGGUGUGAAUUGCAGAAUCCCGUGAACCAUCGAGUCUUUGAACGCAAGUUGCGCCCGAAGCCAUUAGGCCGAGGGCACGCCUGCCUGGGCGUCACACGUCGUUGCCCCCCCAUCUACUCCUUCGGGAUUGCGGGGGGCGGAUGAUGGCCUCCCGUGCGCCUCGUCGCGCGGUUGGCAUAAAUGCCAAGUCCUCGGCGACGCACGCCACGACAAUCGGUGGUUGCGAAACCUCGGUUGCCCGUCGUGGGCGGUCGUCGCGCAUCGAGGGCUCGAAAAAAUUGCCGGGCUCCGGCUCGGCUUUCAACGCGACCCCAGGUCAGGCGGGGUUACCCGCUGAAUUUAAGCAUAUCAAUAAGCGGAGGA